rnacentral:misc_RNA from 1 species
UUUCCGUAGGUGAACCUGCGGAAGGAUCAUUAUUGAAUAAACCUGAUGUGGCUGUUAGCUGGCUUUUCGGAGCAUGUGCUCGUCCGUCAUCUUUAUCUCUCCACCUGUGCACAUUUUGUAGUCUUGGAUACCUCUCGAGGCAACUCGGAUUUUAGGGUCGCUGUGCUGUACAAGUCGGCUUUCCUUUCAUUCCAAGACUAUGUUUUUAUAUACACCAAAGUAUGUUUAAAGAAUGUCAUCAAUAGGAACUUGUUUCCUAUAUAAUUAUACAACUUUCAGCAACGGAUCUCUUGGCUCUC